UACAGAGGGUGCUAGCGUUAAUCGGAAUUACUGGGCGUAAAGCGUGUGUAGGUGGUUAGAUAAGUUAGAUGUGAAAUCCCCGGGCUUAACCUGGGCAUUGCGUUUAAGACUGUUUAGCUUGAGUACUGUAGAGGAUAGUGGAAUUCCUGGUGUAGCGGUGAAAUGCGCAGAUAUCAGGAGGAACACCAAUGGCGAAGGCAGCACUCUGGGACGGUACU
rnacentral:rRNA from 1 species